UCAAAUAAUAUAAAAAAUAAUAUAUAUAUUGACAUGGAUUAAACAAAGAUAUAUAUUAUUCUAUGUUGUAUAAACAAAUUGGCAAAAUAGAGAUGGAAGAUAAAAAUAUGGUCAAAGUAAUAAGAGUCUAUGGUGGAUGCCUAGGAGCUUUAAGGCGAAGAAGGUCGUGGUAAGCUGCGAAAAGCUUGGGGGAUAAGCAAACAUUUAUUGAUCCCAAGAUUACCGAAUGGAGUAAUCCAGCUAGCAAGAUGCUAGCUAUCUAUUAUCUAAAUAAUAGAGGCGAUACC
rnacentral:misc_RNA from 1 species